UACGUAGGGUGCAAGCGUUAAUCGGAAUUACUGGGCGUAAAGCGUGCGCAGGCGGUUCUAUAAGACAGAUGUGAAAUCCCCGGGCUCAACCUGGGAACUGCAUUUGUGACUGUAGAGCUGGAGUACGGCAGAGGGGGAUGGAAUUCCGCGUGUAGCAGUGAAAUGCGUAGAUAUGCGGAGGAACACCGAUGGCGAAGGCAAUCCCCUGGGCCUGUACUGACGCUCAUGCA
rnacentral:rRNA from 1 species